rnacentral:rRNA from 1 species
UAACCUGCCCUUUGGUGGGGAAUAACUUCGCGAAAGCGAAGCUAAUUCCGCAUAAGAUCCGCAAGGAUGAAAGCCGAAAGGCGCCGAAGGAGGGGCCCGCGCACGAUUAGCUAGUUGGUAGGGUAAUGGCCUACCAAGGCUAUGAUCGUUAGCUGGUCUGAGAGGAUGGCCAGCCACACUGGAACUGAGACACGGUCCAGACUCCUACGGGAGGCAGCAGUGGGGAAUCUUGCACAAUGGGCGAAAGCCUGAUGCAGCGACGCCGCGUGGGGGAUGAAGCUUCUCGGAGUGUAAACCCCUUUCGACCCGGACGAAUGCCCCGCAAGGGGACUGACGGUACGGGUAUAAGAAGCCCCGGCUAACUACGUGCCAGCAGCCGCGGUAAUACGUAGGGGGCCAGCGUUGCUCGGAAUUACUGGGUGUAAAGGGUUCGUAGGCGGUGCGGCAAGUUGGAAGUGAAAUCUCUGGGCUCAACCCAUAGGCUGCUUUCAAAACUGCUGUGCUUGAGUGUGGGAGAGGCGCGUGGAAUUGCAGGUGUAGCGGUGAAAUGCGUAGAUAUCUGCAGGAACACCCGUGGCGAAAGCGGCGCGCUGGACCACAACUGACGCUGAGGAACGAAAGCUAGGGGAGCAAACAGGAUUAGAUACCCUGGUAGUCCUAGCCCUAAACGAUCAGGACUUGGGGUGGCUCACGUUCGUGAGUCGUCCCGGAGCUAACG